CUGUUCUUAACCAAAACAAAUACAACUCAUCCCUGGAACAGCUGUUGAAGUAUGAAUAUUUUAGAAAAAGAGAGAGGGGUUCUGAAACAGAUUUGAACAAGACAUUGGGACCAGGUAGAACUUCUAAAUUAAAUGUUGUGUCCUCCAAUAAAAGAAACAGCUGAGGCUUCUUCAGAUGAUAUAACAAGUAUUCUGCCUGAAAGCAAUGAAAUCUCUGGAUGGAAAACUUUCACGGAAGAUCUUUCAACUACCUUCAAAGUUUGUAAUGAAAAUUUGCUUGGAAACUCACUAAAUGAUGUGGCACCAUCUAAUUUAAAUGCCAAUAAAGAGACGGAUUAUCUCUUUAAGGACUAUGGGAAGCUUGAAGAAGAAAAAUCUGUAAUGUCGGCUCAAAAAGCAAGUAAUCCCAAUACUGGUGUAUGUAGCUGUCCUGCAAAUUUGGCAGAUAUAGAUUUCACUGGAGUUUGUAACCCUUCCCUACUAAUGAAAGCAGAUGUAACUUCCAGUGAUGCUAGUGAGCAUCCUUGUGUUGCACCAUUUGAAGAAACUAAGGGUCAUCCUCUGAAACAAAAUGUGGAGCCAAGUCCUUCCCAAAAUCAAGAUGCAGAUUCACUGGGAAGAUGUAUUGCUGAUGACAUUGAUUCAGUUCUAGAUCACAUACACGCAAAAUCAAGUGAAAACAAGGUUACAGUUCAGUCCAUACAGCCAGGUAGACAUCCUGGCAUGCAUGUGGAAAGUUCAUGGCCGCAUAAGCGGCAGAAGGUUGAAGAUCAACUAAGUAAUUCCCCAUCGUUGUCAUUAAGCAUGAAGGGGAAGUGUGAUUGGCAAGAGAACGGUGGAAAUGAAAACACCCCUUCCACUUUUAUGCACGAACAAUUUGAUGUGGCUUCUAUCUCAAGUUUGCCACAACAGAACCUUGAAAAUAAUGAAGAUCAUUUAGAGGAGGGAACAAGAGGAGUAUAUCCAUCCAGCAUUAUGUUUAGUGGGGAUGUGAAUCUUGAACAUUUUAUUUGUGAUGGAAGGAGCAAGCAAAAAAGGAAAUCUCAACUUGGAGAAGAUGGUGAGUUUGCAACUUCUCUCAUUAAUUCUCCAUGUCAACCACAUGCAGGCUUGUUAAGUUCUGAUCAAAGCAGACCAGAAGUUGAGGGGUUCAUUACAGACAGUGAACAUGUCUGCAUUGGUGGCGAUGGAAUAAGCUUUCCCAACUUGGACCUUCCGAAGACUACAAUAGAAUGUGCUGGCGUCCUGGAGCAGCUUUGCAAGUCUGCUUGCAUUCAUACCCCUUUAUCCCAAUUUCCAACCACGUACGGAGUGCACCGAACAACUGACCUGUACCAGUCUGUUCCUAAUGGACUUCUAGAAUGCAUGGGCCAGAAGAGCACCCUUCCCAACAAUGAUGUUUUAAGAAGUCAACUUAAAGUCAGCACUAGUUGCUUUGAUGAUGCUACCAACAAUGCAUUUCUUGGAAGAUCCUUUUCAGAUUGCUUGCUGUAUUCUGGUUCUCAAGUUACUGAAGAUGGGAAGAAACUUCAUCUUUCUCCUAUGCUUUGGGAUAAAAUCACAUCAUACUCUGGCAGUUCAGAAAAGCGACGUAGCUUAAAUCCUGACCUUCCCUGUAUUAGUGAAGAAAACGAGAACACAGAUGAGGUGGUGGAUAGAUUUCAGGAAGAUGCUGCUUUUGAGGUUGUGGCUAGCUCUGUCAAAAGGGAACCACUUGCUGAUAUUAAGGAAUGUCCAAAUGUUGCUGCAGUAGUUUCUGGAGCUGAACAAUUUACCUUUAGAGAUAGUCUAGACUCUGUGAACACAGCCUACAGCUUCACUGGGACCGAGAACGGGAUCAAACAGAAGGUUGAAAAACACAAUGCCAGCAAGAGGAGAGACACUAGUAAGUUGAAAAAGAACCGGAAUAUGCUACCAGGGGCAAAUGAUACCAAAAGGGCAAGUGAAUCACUUCGUAAUAGGUCCAGUAAACUACAAUUAUCAGAUGAAACCAGUCUGAGAAAAGGUGGGCCAAGCUUCUCGCAAAAGGAACCGAAGGUCAACAAUAUAGUUUCGAAUAUCACUUCGUUCAUUCCAAUUGUUCAGCAGAAACAAGCAGCUUCCACUAUCACUGGGAAGAGGGAUGUUAAAGUGAAGGCUCUAGAGGCUGCUGAAGCUGCAAAAAAACUUGCUGAAAAGAAAGAGAAUGAUCGAAAGAUGAAGAAAGAGGCAUUAAAACUUGAAAGAGCAAGACUGGAGCAAGAAAACUUGAGGCAAUUGGAGCUUGAGAAGAAAAAGAAAGAAGAACGAAAGAAAAAAGUGGCUGAUAUGGCUGCCAAGAAAAGACAGAGGGAAGAAGAAGAAAAGUUGGAGAAAGAAAGAAAGAGAAAACAUAUGGAGGACGCAAGGAGGCAGCAGCGUGCUCUAGAAGAGAAGUUACGUUCAAAGAAGGAUGAGAAUGAAAAAGAGUCCCAAGCCCCGGAUGAGAGAGGACAAACAAUGAAGGUUCCUAGUGAUGAAGCAGCAAAGCAUAAGAAAGUGCAAAAAGAAAUAGCAGGAGGGAAUGGAGGAAAAGUGUCGGAGAUGGAAUUGAGGACAGCUGUUGCUUCAACUUCCGUAAAACCAUGCACAAUUAUUGAAGAUAAUACAAAGGUAAUGAGCACCUUGGAUAGAGCAAGAGAGAGUGAUAACCCAAUUGCAGAUAUAGGCCAAGAACAAUCAUAUGAUAUUUCUCCAUACAAAGGUUCUGACGAUGAAGAUGAUGAACCGAACAAUAAAUUUAUUCCUUCAUGGGCCAGUAAAAAGCGUGUGGCUCUUGUUGUCACUUCCCAACAACAAUUAGAUCCGGAAGGAAUUUUCCCCCCAGGAAGCUUUUGUAGUAUUUCUGAAGUUCUCUUACCAAGAAAGCUCCAGCAAAAUAGAGCGAGUUAGAUCGAAUGGUACAGUUUGAAAACCAUAGUAUCUUCAGCUGACUCAAUGACAUCUCUUCUAUGAGUGGAAAGAGUGCACAUGUGAUGUGAUGAUGUUAGACCCUUUCAACCUCUAAAAAGUCUUAUUCCUGUAACGGCUCAAUGACGUGGAAUGGUAUGGUGUUGGAUUUGGGUCUGG